rfam:Triticum aestivum genome assembly, contig: Triticum_aestivum_CS42_TGACv1_scaffold_147250_2BS
UAGAUACUCCCUCCGUCUGGAAAUACUUGUCGGAGGAAUGGACGUAUGUAGACGUAUUUUAGUGUUAGAUACAUUAAUUUUUAGUCAUUUCUAUGACAAGUAUUUCCGGACGGAGGGAGUACUUC